UACGUAGGGGGCGAGCGUUGUCCGGAGUUACUGGGCGUGAAGCGCUUGUAGGCGGUCCACCAAGUUUGGGGUGACAGUUGCCGACUUAAUCGGCAAAGUGCCUCAAAGACUGGCGGACUUGAGGGCCACAGAGGGACAUGGAACUCCAGGUGUAGUGGUGAAAUGCGUAGAUAUCUGGAAGAACACCAAAGGCGAAGGCAGUGUCCUGGGUGGUCGCUGACGCUGAGAGGCGAAAGCCAGGGGAGCGAACGGG
rnacentral:rRNA from 1 species